AGUCGACGAACCUUCGGGUUAGUGGCGGACGGGUGAGUAACGCGUGGGAAUCUGCCCUCAGGAGGGGGAUAACGGUUGGAAACGGCCGCUAAUACCCCAUAUGCCGAGAGGUGAAAUGAAUUUCGCCUGAGGAUGAGCCCGCGUCUGAUUAGCUAGUUGGUGAGGUAAGAGCUCACCAAGGCAUCGAUCAGUAGCUGGUCUGAGAGGAUGAUCAGCCACACUGGACUGAGACACGGCCCAGACUCCUACGGGAGGCAGCAGUGGGGAAUUUUCCGCAAUGGGCGAAAGCCUGACGGAGCAACGCCGCGUGAGGGAUGAAGGCCUCUGGGCUGUAAACCUCUUUUAUCAAGGAAGAAGAUCUGACGGUACUUGAUGAAUAAGCCACGGCUAAUUCCGUGCCAGCAGCCGCGGUAAUACGGGAGUGGCAAGCGUUAUCCGGAAUUAUUGGGCGUAAAGCGUCCGCAGGCGGCCCAACAAGUCUGCUGUUAAAAAGUGGAGCUUAACUCCAUCAUGGCAGUGGAAACUGUUGGGCUCGAGUGUGGUAGGGGCAGAGGGAAUUCCCGGUGUAGCGGUGAAAUGCGUAGAUAUCGGGAAGAACACCAGUGGCGAAGGCGCUCUGCUGGGCCAUCACUGACGCUCAUGGACGAAAGCCAGGGGAGCGAAAGGGAUUAGAUACCCCUGUAGUCCUGGCCGUAAACGAUGAACACUAGGUGUCGGGGGAAUCGACCCCUCCGGUGUCGUAGCCAACGCGUUAAGUGUUCCGCCUGGGGAGUACGCACGCAAGUGUGAAACUCAAAGGAAUUGACGGGGGCCCGCACAAGCGGUGG
rnacentral:rRNA from 1 species